GAGCUGUCAACACUGUCCUAGGGCCUGUAACAGAGGCAAUCAUGGACGUUGUGGGCAGAGGUUCAUCCAACAUUGUUGGAAUUGGCGAACACACAUUGGACAGCGGGUUCCUUCAACUGGAUGCAUUUGAUGCAUUUGGCGAUAGUCCUGGGGCGUCACAAGGAACACAAACAGCUUCUGCAGUCCAUCUGACGACUGCAGCGCUAAACAGUUUUAAUCGUCCUUCGCCAGUUACUGGUAGUGCAUAGGCAACCUUUGCGAAUGAUGACACAAGUAAUGCUACAAUCGAAACUGUCUGCUGCAGUUGCGGUUGCCACACUCGAGUUCAAAAACUCAAAGAAGAAAAAUUAAUCCUACAAAUAAAACUUCUAAAGAAGCAGCUAAAGCAUGAGGAAUGAAGUUGAAUUUGUGGCACAUUUAUUAACUUUGUUAUGAACUUUUUGAUAUUUAAAGGGGCAUAUCAAUGGCCACAACAGCAUUUCAUAAUCAGAAAUAAAUUGUUACAUAAAAGAACUUAUUUCUUAUAACACUGAUUCGGUAAUGAUAAAUAUUCUCUAUAUGUAUUUGAAUAAUUAUAACCGGUUUUCCCCGGACACUUUUCGCACUUGCUGGAAAAUCGUAAUAGUUGAAUAUUUAAGUUAUGAUAAAAUGUACAUACGUAUUACAAAAUGCGAAUGCUCAGUGACAAUUAUAGACAUUUAACAUUACUUCAGUGUAGAAAAAACUCAU